GGGGGCGACAUGGUUUCGACGCUGAUGACAACCCCUGAGGUGCAUGCCGAGAGCGUGAUGUAUCUCGUAAAUCCAACAUCACGAUUAAAUAGUCGCAAACGACGAAAACUACGCUCAGGGCGCGCUGGCAGCGUAAAAACUGCUAGCUUCUAGUCCUACCCGGCGGCGACGUGCUCAUCCGUUGCCAAUGGGCUACGAGCCAAGAUAGGUGAGAUCG
rnacentral:sRNA from 1 species